rnacentral:SRP_RNA from 1 species
UGGUCCUCUCGCAAUGAUAAAUUGUGAACCCCGCCAGGCCCGGAAGGGAGCAACGGUAGCGAUGGACUUGUGUGCCGAGAUGUGGCU